AGUGAACGCUGGCGGUAGGCCUAACACAUGCAAGUCGAACGGCAGCACAGUAAGAGCUUGCUCUUACGGGUGGCGAGUGGCGGACGGGUGAGGAAUACAUCGGAAUCUACUUUUUCGUGGGGGAUAACGUAGGGAAACUUACUCUAAUACCGCAUACGACCUACGGGUGAAAGCAGGGGAUCUUCGGACCUUGCGCGAUUGAAUGAGCCGAUGUCGGAUUAGCUAGUUGGCGGGGUAAAGGCCCACCAAGGCGACGAUCCGUAGCUGGUCUGAGAGGAUGAUCAGCCACACUGGAACUGAGACUGGGUCCAGACUCCUACGGGAGGCAGCAGUGGGGAAUAUUGGGCAAUGGGCGCGAGCCUGAUCCAGCCCUACCGCGUGGGUGAAGAAGGCCUUCGGGUUGUAAAGCCCUUUUGUCGGGAAAGAAAAGCAGCAGGUUAAUACCCCACUGUUCUGACGGUACCCAAAGAAUAAGCACCGGCUAACUUCGUG
rnacentral:rRNA from 1 species